AAAUCGCCUUGGGGAGUUUAUUCGAGUAAAAACCCAACAUGCAAGUUUUGCGAUGUAAACUCGUUCGUCAACUUUCUACGCGCAAUCGAAUAACUUGAUGGGAAUUUUAUUUCGUUUAAUCUUCGCGCUAUUCACUAAGACACUAACGACCAUUUCGGGAGCUUGGGGUCCCUGAGUAAUACCGCAAAAUGAAGUAGAAAAUACCCAACACCAGAAUCAAUGACAAAAUAAAAUGACCCAAAUGAUUGGCUAAUAACUGCGGAAAUCCCCCUUUUUAAAGGAAAAUGAAUGAGGACAUUUUUUUAACUUGACAUUUCAAACGAAGUUUGCAUAAUAACCUGAAGUUGAAUCACUGCAGGAGUUAUUUAAAGGAAUGACUGGAAAUGUCAUCUUAUAUAAUUAAGUGUCACAUGAUAUUUUAUUCCCUCCUGGCUUCCAAGAGGGUUUUAAUAAAUUCUAAUCGAUAUCUUAAUUCUUAAGCAUUGAUCAUUAGAAGAUUAUUGUCGUCUGCUACAAAUUUGUUUUCGUUUACAAGUUUCGAUAAAAGGAGACUAAAGACUUCAAAAAAGAAAGACGGAACCGACGGAACGAUCACUUUUUCUUUUGAACGUGGAUGCCCGGUCUUAAAAUUACAAAAGUGCGGUCAUCGUCCUGUCAACUUUGGUGUUGCAUUUUUCAUGCUAUCUUCUCCAUGCUGUUUAGCAGAUGUGAGGCCUGAGCCAGCCAUUGUAACAGCAAAGUUUUGCUUGUGCUGGACCUGCAGUCAUAUGAUUUGACUGAUGACCUCCUGUCUCAUCACUAACAAUCACAGUAUCAUCACUUCGAUAAACAGCAGCCCGUUUAAUUGGAGAAACUUCCAGUGUCGACAGAGUUAAGGAUCUCUUCAAUUCCCCUUUCUUUAAAUGUCCUAGUGUACGCCCAUGUGAAUGUGGGUGUAUUCACGAGGACUCCCUUUUACCUAUCCCUGCUGGUCGUGGAUUCAACUUUUCUGUGAAUGGAGCCCUUUUGGAUGCCUGGCUGUGGAUUUCCCAGGCUGAAAGGUAGGACAAAUUCAUCUCUUUUCUUCCUUUUUGCUAUUUGGUGUGAUUUGAUUGUUAAUCUUGACAUAGUACGGAGUACGAUUAUUCCAGAGCCAUGCAGUUGACUGCAACUGUUUUAUCUUGCUGUAUUUGUUUUUCUCAGUCAGGGUUCAUUAAAUACUGUAGCUCACGUGUAGGACGUCAGAUCAGGCCUGUUUUCGUACCCCGCAACUUUGUCUGUUGAUAAAAAAUCAAAUUCAGAAAUAUUUGAACUUCAAGAACUUGAAGCAAAGUACAACUUGAACAAUUUUUGAUUUUUCCACCAAGAGGGUCUUGCUGCCACACCGGCACUUCCUGGCAUAAUUAACUAUCACGCAAGUUAUCUUUUUCCAAUGUAAUAAAUCUCAUCGCUAUCUCCUUAGCCCAAUAUGAGCCAAGUUCAUCGUCCUUCUCCUUAUUUUCACUCUGCAGCUUAUUAGGUUGUUUCAUAUUUACAUAUAUGGAGUGAAGUCGAUCGGCUCGUUGGCCCCUUCUCGCACACAACAAUAACGGGCCAUGGUUGCUUUGUCAAAAAUGAGUAUCAGUAGUAAAUUUGUGUAACGGUAUAUUAAUUAAUACGGUAGUGAAUUUAUCAACUAUAC